rnacentral:rRNA from 1 species
UACGUAGGGUGCGAGCGUUGUCCGGAAUUAUUGGGCGUAAAGAGCUCGUAGGCGGUGUGUCGCGUCGGCCGUGAAAACCUGCAGCUUAACUGUGGGCUUGCGGUCGAUACGGGCAUCACUGGAGUUCGGCAGGGGAGACUGGAAUUCCUGGUGUAGCGGUGAAAUGCGCAGAUAUCAGGAGGAACACCGGUGGCGAAGGCGGGUCUCUGGGCAGUAACUGACGCUGAGGAGCGAAAGCGUGGGGAGCAAACAGG